CCUGAUCCAGCAAUGCCGCGUGUGUGAAGAAGGCCUUCGGGUUGUAAAGCACUUUUGUCCGGAAAGAAAUCCUUGGCUCUAAUACAGUCGGGGGAUGACGGUACCGGAAGAAUAAGCACCGGCUAACUACGUGCCAGCAGCCGCGGUAAUACGUAGGGUGCGAGCGUUAAUCGGAAUUACUGGGCGUAAAGCGUGCGCAGGCGGUUUGCUAAGACCGAUGUGAAAUCCCCGGGCUCAACCUGGGAACUGCAUUGGUGACUGGCAGGCUAGAGUAUGGCAGAGGGGGGUAGAAUUCCACGUGUAGCAGUGAAAUGCGUAGAGAUGUGGAGGAAUACCGAUGGCGAAGGCAGCCCCCUGGGCCAAUACUGACGCUCAUGCACGAAAGCGUGGGGAGCAAACAGGAUUAGAUACCCUGGUAGUCCACGCCCUAAACGAUGUCAACUAGUUGUUGGGGAUUCAUUUCCUUAGUAACGUAGCUAACGCGUGAAGUUGACCGCCUGGGGAGUACGGUCGCAAGAUUAAAACUCAAAGGAAUUGACGGGGACCCGCACAAGCGGUGGAUGAUGUGGAUUAAUUCGAUGCAACGCGAAAAACCUUACCUACCCUUGACAUGGUCGGAAUCCUGCUGAGAG
rnacentral:rRNA from 37 species